AGCGCCGUUGCGGCUUUCUCUCUAUCGAGUCUCUCUUCCUUCUUCUCCCACUCGCCGUCCUCUCCGAAUCACCAUCACCACCGUUCUUGUUCAUCUCUCAGCCAUCUCCACCUCGUCUCCGUCCACCUCGUCACUACCGUUCCUCUCCUCCUGUCCAAGAGUAUCGGGAGUGAGGACAGUGGUGAGCCGGAGAUGAGCAGCGGCGGUGAGGAGACAGAGCUUAACUUCGACUUCCAUGGAGUUCUUCCGUGUGUUAGAACUCGAGGGAUGAGAUUGAGUUGGAUUCAAAGGAAACGAAGACGCGGUGCGACGGGGGGAGGGGUCGUGUCCAUGAGCUUGAAGUGUCCUGAGUGAAUAGAGCAGCUGAACCACAUUUUCCAAAACUGUACGUUCAGGCUUGGACAUUGAUGAAUAACUGCCCCAAACCAGCUGAGGACAACAUUCCAAAGAACAUGGAGUAUGGCAUGGGUUUAACUCCGUGUCCUUUUUGUGAUGUUGGAAAGUUUGAAUAUAGAGUAACCGAACAGAGUCAAAAGGAUUGUCUCACAACCAAUACUCAUGAAGCAUGUCUCCCAAUUCAUGAAAACUGCAGCUCAUGGGUCAAAUAGAAUCGUGUAUGUAACAGAUGAUCAUGUUGAUAUCAGUACAAGUAACCGAGUCACUGGGAGAUCAGCAGUAGCGUUGUCUUUAUAUCGUCUUCUAAACAGUAGAGUUUGUUUUUGAUGAAAAACUGAGUUGUCUUGUUUUACUUAAUCAGAAAAGCACAAAAAGAUUUGAGUAAACUAUUUUGUAUUCUGAUUUUGUAUCAGAAUGAUGUGUUGUUGGUGUAACAAAAACGUCUAAUAAUUAUUAGCUAACAAAUAGUCAGAUCAAAUGUAUAAUACUUUCAUAAUUAUAAAAGAUUUUUUUUUCAAAA